rnacentral:rRNA from 1 species
CUAAAAAUCCCGACUUCGGAAGGGAUGUAUUUAUUAGAUUAAAAACCAAUGCCCUCUGGGCUCUCUGGUGAUUCAUGAUGACUUCUCGAAUCGCAUGGCCUUGCGCCGGCGAUGGUUCAUUCAAAUUUCUUCCCUAUCAACUUUCGAUGUUUGGGUAUUGGCCAAACAUGGUCGCAACGGGUAACGGAGGGUUAGGGCUCGACCCCGGAGAAGGAGCCUGAGAAACGGCUACUACAUCCAAGGAAGGCAGCAGGCGCGCAAAUUACCCAAUCCCGACACGGGGAGGUAGUGACAAUAAAUACUGAUACAGGGCUCUUUCGGGUCUUGUAAUUGGAAUGAGUACAAUUUAAAUCCCUUAACGAGGAACAAUUGGAGGGCAAGUCUGGUGCCAGCAGCCGCGGUAAUUCCAGCUCCAAUAGCGUAUAUUAAAGUUGUUGUGGUUAAAAAGCUCGUAGUUGAACCUUGGGCCUGGCUGGCCGGUCCGCCUCACCGCGUGUACUGGUCCGGCCGGGCCUUUCCCUCUGUGGAAUCUCAUGCCCUUCACUGGCCGUGACGGGGAAACAGGAUUUCUACUGU